rnacentral:rRNA from 1 species
UACAAAGGAAUUGACGGGGCCCGCACAAGCGGUGGAGCAUGUGGUUUAAUUCGAAGCAACGCGAAGAACCUUACCAGGUCUUGACAUCCCGAUGCUAUUUCUAGAGAUAGAAAGUUACUUCGGUACAUCGGUGACAGGUGGUGCAUGGUUGUCGUCAGCUCGUGUCGUGAGAUGUUGGGUUAAGUCCCGCAACGAGCGCAACCCUUGCCAUUAGUUGCUACGAAAGGGCACUCUAAUGGGACUGCCGGUGACAAAACCCGGAGGAAGGUGGGGAUGACGUCAAGUCCUCAUGGCCCUUAUAGGUGGGGCUACACACGUCAUACAAUGGCCGGUACAGAGGGUAGCCAACCCGCGAGGGGGAGCCAAUCCCACAAAGCCGGUCGUAGUCCGGAUCGCAGUCUGCAACUCGACUGCGUGAAGUCGGAAUCGCUAGUAAUCGCGGAUCAGCAUGUCGCGGUGAAUACGUUCCCGGGUCUU